rnacentral:lncRNA from 1 species
CGUCUUUAACCUCCCCAAUAUAUCUUCAAACUCCACUUCUCCCUACCACGUUCGUCCCCUUUCACAUAUAACCUUCAGCACGCCUCCGAGUUCAACUGUCCACCUCAAUAAGCCCUAAACAUCAGGUAGGUGUAGUAACUAUUGUGCAUAUAUAAGAGGUUGCUUUUUUGAAUAUAUGCGUUAUUCCAUCGCUUGAAAUUUGUCUAACGGUUGAUACAUCAUGGACCAGAAAUUGGCUGAUAAGGAUUUUCUGUUUGAAGAAAUGGCACCCAAGGUAAAAUUUAUUGAAAAGAUGUUUGGAUUUUGAUUCCUGUCUUUGAAAAUUUAUAAUUUUUUACUGCUUAAUUGUAGCUAUCUCAACUCAAAAUUGGUUAAAUCGUUGGUUUUAUUAUAUUGUUCAAUAUAACUAUCGUUUGCUUUUGGAAAUUUGCUAUGUUUUUUUAUAUAUGAUUAUAAUUUAUAAUCACUUACACAAUGAAGAACACUGUAUCCGUUCAUGAAAAUGCCAACCUUCAAACAAUAUCAGCUAAAUCCAUUGAUUUUGAAAGUAACUCUACUGAGAUAAUUGAGUAUUCUCCUCACUUCGGUCCUUUUAAAUCGAUUUUGGAAAGGGUUAUUUCGGAAGGGGUAGAAAUUCAUCGUCUUUUCAUCAAUUGUUAAUAGUUUAUGAUGUUUUAGUUUUGUUUUAGGUUUCUACAAUUGCUAAAGAAGAUCAACAACUCGAAAGGAAAAGAAAAAGAGUUUUAGCUCUAACAUAGUGGAAGUAGGAUGAAGUUGUGGACCUCUGCUCAGAUGAUGAUGAGAAAGAGGAUGUCCCCACCAUACAAGCAAAAAAGAAAGUCAGGGUUUGCAUUUACAAUCGAAAUCGACCCAUGAAACUCCUUGACAAGUCGGAUGUGGAGGAUUGAUGUUUCUAUAAGUUGGUUUUAAUAUGUUUUUCUUAUUUUCAAUAUUAUGUUUAGUUGUUGUUAUCAAUCUAUGUUUCAAACCUCUU